rnacentral:misc_RNA from 1 species
UUAACAGUGCCUUGAGUUCCAGUAAUGUUUACAAUACUAGACCUUUGUAAAAGCGAUGCGAUUUGCUUGCAGGCUAGUGAUAUGCUCGAAAGAACUAUGGCUAAUUCUGCAUCUAUGUUGCCUGCUUGUUCUUGCUGCAACAACCAUGUUGUCAAGUUUACCAUUUCAUAUCUGUUUUUCGGUUUCUUGAUCUGUGCUGGAGCUGUUUUUG